CAAGUCGAGCGGAACGAGUUAUCUGAACCUUCGGGGAACGAUAACGGCGUCGAGCGGCGGACGGGUGAGUAAUGCCUAGGAAAUUGCCCUGAUGUGGGGGAUAACCAUUGGAAACGAUGGCUAAUACCGCAUAAUGCCUACGGGCCAAAGAGGGGGACCUUCGGGCCUCUCGCGUCAGGAUAUGCCUAGGUGGGAUUAGCUAGUUGGUGAGGUAAUGGCUCACCAAGGCGACGAUCCCUAGCUGGUCUGAGAGGAUGAUCAGCCACACUGGAACUGAGACACGGUCCAGACUCCUACGGGAGGCAGCAGUGGGGAAUAUUGCACAAUGGGCGCAAGCCUGAUGCAGCCAUGCCGCGUGUGUGAAGAAGGCCUUCGGGUUGUAAAGCACUUUCAGUCGUGAGGAAGGUGGUGUAGUUAAUAGCUGCAUUAUUUGACGUUAGCGACAGAAGAAGCACCGGCUAACUCCGUGCCAGCAGCCGCGGUAAUACGGAGGGUGCGAGCGUUAAUCGGAAUUACUGGGCGUAAAGCGCAUGCAGGUGGUUUGUUAAGUCAGAUGUGAAAGCCCGGGGCUCAACCUCGGAAUAGCAUUUGAAACUGGCAGACUAGAGUACUGUAGAGGGGGGUAGAAUUUCAGGUGUAGCGGUGAAAUGCGUAGAGAUCUGAAGGAAUACCGGU
rnacentral:rRNA from 1 species